GGCUCCAUAGUGUAGUGGUUAGCAUGUCUGCUUUACAUGCAGAAGGUCCUGGGUUCGCGCCCCAGGUGGAGCCA
rnacentral:tRNA from 1 species